GACGUAGGGCGCAAGCGUUUGUCCGGAUUUUAUUGGGGCGUAAAAGAGCUCGUAGGCGGCUUGUUUGCGUCGACCGUGAAAAACCCCGUGGCUCAACUGCGGGGCUUGCGGUCGAUACGGGGCGGGGCUAGAGUUGGUAGGGGGGAGACUGGAAUUCCUGGUGUAGCGGUGAAAAUGCGCAGAUAUCAGGAGGAACACCGGUGGCGAAGGGCGGGGUCUCUGGGG
rnacentral:rRNA from 1 species